CAAGUACUCCCUCCAUCCUAAAAUUAUUUUCUUAGAUUUAUCUAGAUACUAAUGUAUCUAGUCACUUUUUACUGUUAGAUACAUUCAUAUCUAGACAAAACUAACAGAAGAAUUUUCGGACAAAGGUAAUAUCUA
rnacentral:pre_miRNA from 1 species